CGUACACUCCUGCGGGAGGCAGCAGUGGGGAAUAUUGCACAAUGGGCGCAAGCCUGAUGCAGCCAUGCCGCGUGUAUGAAGAAGGCCUUCGGGUUGUAAAGUACUUUCAGCGGGGAGGAAGGCAAUACGGUUAAUAACCGUGUUGAUUGACGUUACCCGCAGAAGAAGCACCGGCUAACUCCGUGCCAGCAGCCGCGGUAAUACGGAGGGUGCAAGCGUUAAUCGGAAUUACUGGGCGUAAAGCGCACGCAGGCGGUCUGUCAAGUCGGAUGUGAAAUCCCCGGGCUCAACCUGGGAACUGCAUUCGAAACUGGCAGGCUUGAGUCUUGUAGAGGGGGGUAGAAUUCCAGGUGUAGCGGUGAAAUGCGUAGAGAUCUGGAGGAAUACCGGUGGCGAAGGCGGCCCCCUGGACGAAGACUGACGCUCAGGUGCGAAAGCGUGGGGAGCAAACAGGAUUAGAUACCCGAGUAGUCCCA
rnacentral:rRNA from 1 species